AGUUUGAUCCUGGCUCAGGAUGAACGCUAGCUACAGGCUUAACACAUGCAAGUCGAGGGGCAGCAUGGUCUUAGCUUGCUAAGGCCGAUGGCGACCGGCGCACGGGUGAGUAACACGUAUCCAACCUGCCGUCUACUCUUGGACAGCCUUCUGAAAGGAAGAUUAAUACAAGAUGGCAUCAUGAGUUCACAUGUUCACAUGAUUAAAGGUAUUCCGGUAGACGAUGGGGAUGCGUUCCAUUAGAUAGUAGGCGGGGUAACGGCCCACCUAGUCUUCGAUAGAUAGGGGUUCUGAGAGGAAGGUCCCCCACAUUGGAACUGAGACACGGUCCAAACUCCUACGGGAGGCAGCAGUGAGGAAUAUUGGUCAAUGGGCGCAGGCCUGAACCAGCCAAGUAGCGUGAAGGAUGACUGCCCUAUGGGUUGUAAACUUCUUUUAUAAAGGAAUAAAGUCGGGUAUGUAUACCCGUUUGCAUGUACUUUAUGAAUAAGGAUCGGCUAACUCCGUGCCAGCAGCCGCGGUAAUACGGAGGAUCCGAGCGUUAUCCGGAUUUAUUGGGUUUAAAGGGAGCGUAGAUGGAUGUUUAAGUCAGUUGUGAAAGUUUGCGGCUCAACCGUAAAAUUGCAGUUGAUACUGGAUAUCUUGAGUGCAGUUGAGGCAGGCGGAAUUCGUGGUGUAGCGGUGAAAUGCUUAGAUAUCACGAAGAACUCCGAUUGCGAAGGCAGCCUGCUAAGCUGCAACUGACAUUGAGGCUCGAAAGUGUGGGUAUCAAACAGGAUUAGAUACCCUGGUAGUCCACACGGUAAACGAUGAAUACUCGCUGUUUGCGAUAUACGGCAAGCGGCCAAGCGAAAGCGUUAAGUAUUCCACCUGGGGAGUACGCCGGCAACGGUGAAACUCAAAGGAAUUGACGGGGGCCCGCACAAGCGGAGGAACAUGUGGUUUAAUUCGAUGAUACGCGAGGAACCUUACCCGGGCUUAAAUUGCAGAUGAAUUACGGUGAAAGCCGUAAGCCGCAAGGCAUCUGUGAAGGUGCUGCAUGGUUGUCGUCAGCUCGUGCCGUGAGGUGUCGGCUUAAGUGCCAUAACGAGCGCAACCCUUGUUGUCAGUUACUAACAGGUUCCGCUGAGGACUCUGACAAGACUGCCAUCGUAAGAUGUGAGGAAGGUGG
rnacentral:rRNA from 1 species